rnacentral:rRNA from 1 species
UACGUAGGGACUAAGCGUUGUUCGGAUUUACUGGGCGUAAAGGGCGCGUAGGCGGCAAUUCAAGUCAUCUGUGAAAUCUCCGGGCUUAACUCGGAACGGUCAGAUGAUACUGCUUUGCUAGAGUGCGGAAGGGGCAAUCGGAAUUCUUGGUGUAGCGGUGAAAUGCGUAGAUAUCAAGAGGAACACCUGAGGUGAAGACGGGUUGCUGGGCCGACACUGACGCUGAUGCGCGAAAGCCAGGGGAGCAAACGGG